AGUCUCGUGAACUGAGUAACAAAUAAUCAAUUUUCUCUUCUCCCAAAACCAAUCCCAGACCACGCCCGACGCCCGUCGUUCCCCUCACCGGAACCAGAUCCAGAUCCAGAUCCAGAUCCAGCAGGCGAGAUGAGCCCGUCUCACAGCCGCCACUCGACGCCGACGCUGUCCGACGACGACGUCUUCAGCGUCUUCCUCCGCAUCCCGCCGGACGACCCCGCUCGCCUCGUCCGCGCCUCCCUGGCCUGCAAGGCCUGGCGCCGGAUCGUCACCGGCCCCGAGUUCUGCCGCCUCUACCGCGAGUUCCACGGCGCACCACCCAUGCUCGGCUUCGUCGUCGGCUUCUGGACCCGGAAUACCGACGGCGUCUCCCGCUUCAUCACAGCCACAUCCUUCCGCCCCUCAUCAGGUACCGACUCCUACCCCAGCAACUGGAAGGCCGUUGACUCCCGCCACGGCCGCAUCCUCGUGAGGCCUAUCUCCGGUGGAUACAUCGUCUGGGACCCUAUCACGAACGGCCGGUGGGGAGUUCCAUUCCCCAGCAUGGAUCGACAAUCCUCGACUGCCGCGGUGUUGUGUGCGAAGGAACGCUGCGACCACCUGGGCUGUCAUGGACAUCCUUUCCUUGUAGCUAUGGUGGCUUCAUGGCAAGGGACCACGUCCGCAUGCGUAUACUCAUCGGAGUCUGGUUUGUGGAGCGACACCAUCACCCUGAAGCACCCAGAUUACAUCAACAACACUGGGCGAAGCAUCCUUGUGGGAAACACACUCUACUUUCCAUUUGACGAUAGUUGCAGAGUUCUGCAGUACAAGUUGGGCGAGCAGAAAUUAUCUGUCAUUGAUGUGCCAAAGGUGAACUGGAAAGAGCGCCUUGUGUUCAUAUCGGCGGAAGACGGCGUGGUGGUGUUUGCGGGCUUGCGAGGGACUAGGCUCUCCCUGUGGUCAGCCGAGCCAGCUGGUCCCGGCGGAGCUCUGGCAUGGGUGGAACGCAGGGUCAUCGAGCUUGAAACGCUGCUCCCCCCAAGGGCCUUUGAACCCAGACCUCACCCGGUUGGUGCACGCUACGAGAACGAACCCAAUGUGUCUGGCUUCGCAGAAGGCGUCGUCUUCUUGAGUACAAUGGCUGGGCUGUUUACGGUCGAGCUCAGUUCAGGCCAAACCAAGAAGGUUGCCGAAGUGAAAAUGGCUAAGAAUGUCACUCCUUGGUCAAGCUUCUACACUCAAGACUGUGCUAGGCGCAUGAUGCCACAGCCAUGACAAGGUUCAUCCAUCCAUCUAUCAAGCAUGGACUGCCUGCCAUUUUGCAUGAGGAGUUCUGGAGCUGCAUGAGUAAUGGCCAAGUUUAUGUGGAGAAAUGUGGAGCCUUUUGGGGUAUGAUCUGAAGCAUGGAGCCUUUGACUUGGUUUCAGAGGAACACUAGCAAUCAGUUUGUUCCUUUUAGAGGAACGGUAGCUUUCUGGUCAGCUAAUCCAGUACUAGUGUGGCCAUAUAAUUAUGUGCAAGACUUUUACUCUGUCAUGACGGUGUGACUAAAUGUUUGCACUAUGUGUGCUGUCACUGAGACAUGCUAAUUUGUGCUGUGACAACUGCAUGCUCGUCACAAGUAUGAAUAUCCAGAGGUUGACACA